UACGGAGGGGGCUAGCGUUGUUCGGAAUUACUGGGCGUAAAGCGCACGUAGGCGGCUUUGUAAGUUAGAGGUGAAAGCCCGGGGCUCAACUCCGGAAUUGCCUUUAAGACUGCAUCGCUAGAAUUGUGGAGAGGUAAGUGGAAUUCCGAGUGUAGAGGUGAAAUUCGUAGAUAUUCGGAAGAACACCAGUGGCGAAGGCGACUUACUGGACACAUAUUGACGCUGAGGUGCGAAAGCGUGGGGAGCAAACAGGGAUUAGAACCGAUC
rnacentral:rRNA from 1 species